ACUGGCACCUGGUCAGGAACUCGGAGCCCAUCUCUGGGGUCACUAACAGGCUGACUGGAAGGAGGCAGCUCAGGCCUCACUGUCACACACUGAUCUGGAGGUCUCUCUGGUUACAAAAUGGCCUCAGUCUUCUUCAGCAGAAUGAUUACUGACUCUGAAAACAUCCUAGCUCAUCACAAUAUCUGUCUGGGCCAGGUGUACUGCUUACAACAGAAUCUACAAGGACAACAACUCACCGUGUUUUUCAAUUCAGAUUUUUAAGUUAUGAAUUCAAAUCUACUAAAUAAAUAUCAGAAACAAA
rnacentral:lncRNA from 10 species